GAUGAACGCUAGCGGCAGGCUUAAUACAUGCAAGUCGAGGGGCAGCAUGACUGUAGCAAUACAGUUGAUGGCGACCGGCAAACGGGUGCGGAACACGUACAGAACCUUCCUUCGAGCGGGGAAUAGCCCAGAGAAAUUUGGAUUAAUACCCCAUAGUACAACGGAGUGACAUCACUUUGUUGUUAAAGAUUUAUCACUUGAAGAUGGCUGUGCGGCUGAUUAGGUAGUUGGCGGGGUAACGGCCCACCAAGCCUGCGAUCAGUAACUGGUGUGAGAGCACGACCAGUCACACGGGCACUGAGACACGGGCCCGACUCCUACGGGAGGCAGCAGUAAGGAAUAUGGUCAAUGGACGAAAGUCUGAACCAGCCAUGCCGCGUGGAGGAGUGAAGGUCCUCUGGAUUGUAAACUUCUUUAUAUGGACGAAAAAGGGUUUCUAACUCGUCUGACGGUACCAUAUGAAUAAGCACCGGCUAACUCCGUGACCAGCAGCCGCGGUAAU
rnacentral:rRNA from 1 species